UACGGAGGGGGCUAGCGUUGUCCGGAAUCAUUGGGCGUAAAGCGCGUGUAGGCGGUCCGGUAAGUCCGCUGUGAAAGUCGAGGGCUCAACCCUCGAAUGCCGGUGGAUACUGUCGUGCUAGAGUGCGGAAGAGGCGAGUGGAAUUCCUGGUGUAGCGGUGAAAUGCGCAGAUAUCAGGAGGAACACCUAUUGCGAAGGCAGCUCGCUGGGACGUUACUGACGCUGAGACGCGAAAGCGUGGGGAGCAAACAGG
rnacentral:rRNA from 1 species